rnacentral:rRNA from 1 species
UACAGAGGUCUCAAGCGUUGUUCGGAUUCAUUGGGCGUAAAGGGUCUGUAGGUGGCCAACUAAGUCAGACGUGAAAUCCCUCAGCUUAACUGGGGAACUGCGUCUGAUACUGGUCGGCUUGAGUGCAGGAGAGGAACGCGGAAUUCCAGGUGUAGCGGUGAAAUGCGUAGAUAUCUGGAGGAACACCGGUGGCGAAGGCGGCGUUCUGGACUGCAACUGACACUGAGAGACGAAAGCCAGGGGAGCAAACGGG